UGUUGGCAGCCUUGCCACCCCAGGCAGCCAGUGCACUGGCCUGCAGGGCCCGUCCGUAGGAGAAACUGAGUUUCCAGGGCUUUGGUAGAGGGCAAAGGUUGAUAGCAUUGAGGUUGAGAGUAGCAUCCUCUUCGCUCAUGCCCCCGGACAAGAAGCAGAUGCCUGGAAGGAGAGAAGCCAUUGCACUCUACUCUUCCCAGCUUCUUUACCCAGCUGGAGAGAGCAAGCCAGGAGCCUAAAAGAAAUGGAAUGCCUCCAUCCUUUCUCUACUUGAUUUGCAUGGAACUGGGUUGGAAAAAUUAGUUUGCUUCUCCCGAGGCUAGCGGGGCUAAGGAGAGAAGGGCUUUAAUAAAUAAGGAGGGUGGUGACCUAUUGAGGAAAUCAAUGGAUUGUGUGCAUUUGGACAGAUGCAAGCUUGUGCUAUCAUGGAGUGUGAGGGGACAUGCUGGCCGCCUGUGAGACACAGAGGUCCGUUUCCUGGAUACAAGACUCCUGGGCAAGCACAAAUGCUGGUGGAGCUCCUUCACGGGAUAAGGGCUUAGACCUCAAGUCAGAGAAGAAGGAAAGCCUUACCGGGAACAGCUGCGGGAACAGUCCGGUGGAGAGCAGUGACGGUGGCCAUAGCCACUUGCUCUGGAGUAUACUUUUUGGUGCAGGCAUGUCCGGCAGUCACCAUGUUGGGCUUCAGCAGGGUGCCCUCCAGAUGCGAAACCUGAGGGUCCAAGAGGUUAUGUGACUUUACCAAGUUUGCAGAGCUAAUGAGUGACAGAGUUGGCAUUCAAAUUCUGCUUAACUAACCUAAUGCUAUGGCUUGUACUUGUCCACUUGGGCAGUGAAGCACCUUGCAAAAUUGUCUAAUUAGUAAAUGAUAAAACUAGGAGUCAAACCCUGGUGGGUCUGAUCCCAAAGCUUGGGACCCUUCCUCUCUUCUGCUGCUGGAUUUUUCUCUAAAAAUUACAUUCUCAGGUAAGAAUAUCUUCUCUGUGCAAAGCACCGUGGUAAGCACUUUUUAUGUACAUUGUCUAAUUAAUCCCCAUGACUACUCUGCAAAGUAGAUAUUGUCAUCCUAUUUUAACUGACUCAGGACAUGUAUAUGACCAGCCUAAGGUCACAUAGUUAUCGAAUAGAGGAGCUAGGGUUGAAAAGCAGAUGUGUGUGGCUCUAAAACCAGGGUGAGAUUCAUAUUUUGUUUUCCCUUGCUCACCUCUUUGCUUGCCUUCCUUUCUAGCAUAUAUUAGCAUGAUUCAUAUCAGCAGGUGAUAUCCUUACCUUGAAUGGUGGUUUCUUUGUUUGUUCCUGCAAGGGGAGCACCUCCCUGGUCUAACUGUGAAUAUAAAUAAUUAACAAGUAAUUAGCAGGUGUCAGGGGUCCCAGGAAAACAAAAGCAGAGCCCCUGAUACUAAUAGUUCUCAUCUUUCACAAGCUAAGGAGUUGAAUUAGGAAGGUGUAUUAGUCAUGGGGGUGUGGGGGGGGGAGACAAUUAAAUCCAUAGUGGAAGGGAAGUACCUGGAAGAAAAAAAUGCAAGUGUCAACACUAGGAGGAUGGAAAAUAUGGAAAGCACAGGCCUGGAGCUUGGGAAGUAAGAAGUAAUCUGACAGUACCUGGGAUGCAGAGGGGCCAUAUAAGAGCAGUUUCUCUUAACUUAUUUGUUCAAGGGACAUUUAGGGAGCAUCUACACAUACCGAGCACGACAUUAUUCCAGGAAAUCGAAAGAAUAAAGAUGCAGCCCCUACUCUCGGCAUAGCAGAGGCUGAGAUCAUGAGCCUGAGAGGUAGACAGGCUGGGUUUGAACUGGCUCUGGUUUUGUCUUGCUGUGGGCAAGUUAUGCUAUGCCUUGUAAGUCCAUUUUCUCCCCUCAUCUCUAAAAUGAGGAUAAGAACUGAAUUGACCUCCAGGGGUUACGAGAAGGAUUAAAUGAGCGCUUGGAGUUGUAAGCACUCAACAGAUACAAGUUUUCACUUGUGAGAAGUUCUUGCAGUUUUGGAAGACUGAAUUGUACCCGAAUAGUAAGUGGUUUAAUCAUUAAUAGUGACCAUGAACUAAAUAAUAAUUACGUGACAGGAACUGUUUUACAAACUCCUUUCAUCCUUAUAAGAGCUUUAUGAGGCAGGCACUACUAUUCCCAUUUCAGAAAUGAGAAAAUUGGGACACCAGGAGAUUGAGUACCCUGCAUAAAACUUGGUUGAAAGAAGAAGACACCGGCCGAAAAAUCUAGAAGAGGACCUGUUUCUCAGGGGGGAGGCUGAUGAUGGGAAGGGCAGAGGGAACGGCAACUAGAUGAAGAGGGUGUUCAGAGCGUCAGCCCGGAGACUGGGCUGGGCAUUUGGCUGGAAUGAGGCAGAAGGGAAAUGGGAAUGGAAGUGUUCACCUUAAUUCCCACCACAAUCCCCUUUUCCUUGAGGAUGUUUCUGAACAGCUUUCCCUGGCUGUCCUUCUGGUAGAGGGUCUCAUGGAACAGGAUCACGCCCCCGAUGCUCUGGUUGAUGGAGUUGUCCACAGUGAAGAGGAUUUCUCGGAACUGCCGGCGGUUCUCCUCGGUGUUCUCCACCUUGAUCCUCUGCAGGCGGUUUCCCAUGGUGCCUAGGGUGGGCGAGACAAAGGCAGCUUGAGGAGCCAACCAGGGGAAAGACCUUGACUGCUGCCAGGAUGUUGGAUAGGAAGCGUAUGGACUGGAUAUGUCAGGGUCACGAUGGAAGCCACCAGUGGGUCCAAGUGUGUAUAUUAGGCCCUCAGGCCUCUCCAGCCAUCACCACCCCGACCCAGGUCCAGGCCUCAAUCUAACUAGAUACUCAUCUGCAGCCAGGAUCCCCUUCCCACUGGCAACAAUGCGCUGUGCAAUUUCGGAGAGCUCCUUCUUCUGUUCUGAGGAAUGAAGAGUGCCAGGCUGACCAGAUCUUGGAAAGCUGGACAAAAGGCUCAGACUCUGAGGGGCAGGCAACCAGCCAGCAUCUGCAAAGAGUGGACCAGUCCAUUGCUUUGUGACCACCUCAGCCAUCUACUCCCCGACAAAAUGAAGAACAGGGUCACUCAGCCUCCCAGAUGCUUCCAUUCCUCCAAGUACCAUCGCUGAGGGCCGACUGUAUUCCAGACACUGUUACAAAGGAUGGAGAAGACCUCAGGACAGGUUACAAUCAGGUUCUACAAAAGAGAUGCUGACGGCAUGGAUAUUUAGAAAAUGAAUGUGCUUAAGAGAAAAGUGCUGGAGCUGGAAGUCCGCUGCUGUCCAGCUGAGCGACCCCGGGGAAGCGGUUUCACCUCCC